GUUCUUUGUGUUUAGAGGUUGUGGGGCCUUGCGGUAUUAUUUAUCGCUGCUGACCUUAGUCUGCUGGUGCCAGUUCGUCCUAUGGGUUAUAUGUCCUUGUUACACCUCCUGGGUUUUGGGGUGUAUUGAUUUAGUCACUCUACUGUUAUCUCGUUCGUGGGCCUGUACCUCUUCACUGGGCGCACAUCUAGCGCCUCGUGGGUGUGGAGGGUAGGUAUAUGUGAGGAAGGGGGGAUUGGGUUAGUCUUCUGUCUCUUUGUCAGUCAAAUGAGUGUUGUCCAGAGGUCUGUCUUGUAUUAGCGUUUGGAAGUCCUGUUUUGUAGAUGUCAGGAUCCAGUGUGUCCAUAUGUCAAGGUAGGUCUGCUGUUGCGGUCCGGCCGCAUUCAUGGUGAGCUCUUCUAUGGCCCGUAGUUCUUCCAUUUGGGUGAACCAUUU